CCCUGGAGGUGUGCUGUGUAUCGCCUGCUUGCCCUCCCCACCCCCGGCCCCGGGGAAGGGGGUUCUAGGAAGCAAGCUUUGGGAACCCGGAUGAAGUCCAGCCAGGCUCCUCGGCUCUAGAAGCUCUGGUCAGACCUUUCCACCCGAGUUCUGUAUAGGGUGACUCAUAAUCCCGGUUUGAACACUGAAAGUUCCAGCUCUGCUCAACGAACCCUGUCAGUCCCAGGAAAACAGGACGAUAACAGAAUAAACAACCACCACAAAUGUCUUCACAUCCUUUUAGGUCUGGUUUUGCUACCACGCAAAUUUGCCACAAACCAAAGAAAAGACUUGAUUUUCAGAGCUUUUGGAUUUGGGGAUUGUGGAAGAGGGACUGUGGACCUGUAAGCAACCAAGAGAAAUCUGAAGAAGACUAUCGCUUUUAUGAAAAAGAGGCUAAAAGUGAAAACAGCGCUCUGUUCUGCAACCUGUGGUCACAGAGGCCGCGCGAGGAAGCAGCGAGAAUGGCGCCACCAAGCUCCUUCCCGGGGAACUACACUCAGCUGCUCAGCAUCGAGCCAUCCUAGCUUUGAACUGUGAACGUCUGUGCCUUAUCUCAAUUUAUUUUGUGAAUCCACUAGCAAGAUGUGUCCUAACAUCAUAGAAAAGCCUAAGAGAGGUUCAUCUGGGGGGUCUGGGAACCCUAAAAAAAGUUUCUAUAUAAGUUCGUGGAAGUUGCUUCUUUGCUUUAUGCCAUUUCAGUUUAUAAAAGUUUGA